rnacentral:rRNA from 1 species
ACUGAGUGGCGGACGGGUGAGUAACGCGUGGGUAACUUGCCUCAUACAGGGGGAUAACAGUUAGAAAUGACUGCCAAUACCGCAUAAGCGCACGGGAUCGCAUGGUCUAGUGUGAAAAACUCCGGUGGUAUGAGAUGGACCCGCGUCUGAUUAGCUAGUUGGUGGGGUAACGGCCUACCAAGGCGACGAUCAGUAGCCGGCCUGAGAGGGUGAACGGCCACAUUGGGACUGAGACACGGCCCAAACUCCUACGGGAGGCAGCGGUGGGGAAUAUUGGGCAAUGGGGGAAACCCUGACCCAGCAACGCCGCGUGAAGGAAGAAGGCCUUCGGGUUGUAAACUUCUUUUAGUAGGGACGAAGAGCGUGACGGUACCUACAGAAAAAGCAACGGCUAACUACGUGCCAGCAGCCGCGGUAAUACGUAGGUUGCAAGCGUUGUCCGGAAUUACUGGGUGUAAAGGGCGUGUAGGCGGAGCUGCAAGUCAGAUGUGAAAUCCCGGGGCUCAACCCUGGAACUGCAUUUGAAACUGUAGCCCUUGAGUAUCGGAGAGGCAAGCGGAAUUCCUAGUGUAGCGGUGAAAUGCGUAGAUAUUAGGAGGAACACCAGUGGCGAAGGCGGCUUGCUGGACGACAACUGACGCUGAGGCGCGAAAGCGUGGGGAGCAAACAGGAUUAGAUACCCUGGUAGUCCACGCUGUAAACGAUGAAUACUAGGUGUGGGAGGACUGACCCCUUCCGUGCCGCAGUUAACACAAUAAGUAUUCCACCUGGGGAGUACGACCGCAAGGUUGAAACUCAGAGGAAUUGACGGGGGCCCGCACAAGCAGUGGAGUAUGUGGUUUAAUUCGAAGCAACGCGAAGAACCUUACCAGGGCUUGACAUAAACAGGAAUAAUUUAGAGAUAGAUUAGCUCUUCGGAGCCUGUUUACAGGUGGUGCAUGGUUGUCGUCAGCUCGUGUCGUGAGAUGUUGGGUUAAGUCCCGCAACGAGCGCAACCCCUAUCGUUAGUUGCUAGCAGGUAAAGCUGAGAACUCUAGCGAGACUGCCGGUGAUAAAUCGGAGGAAGGUGGGGAUGACGUCAAAUCAUCAUGCCCUUUAUGUCCUGGGCUACACACGUACUACAAUGGCCGCAACAGAGGGAAGCAAUAUAGUAAUAUGGAGCAAAACCCUAAAAACGGUCUCAGUUCGGAUUGAAGGCUGAAAUUCGCCUUCAUGAAGCUGGAAUUGCUAGUAAUGGCAGGUCAGCAUACUGCCGUGAAUACGUUCCCGGGCCUUGCACACACCGCCCGUCA